rnacentral:sRNA from 1 species
UACUUAAAAUGCAAAAGGAAGACGUGCGGUUAACACGUCCUCAAUGUAGAUCCGUUUAAGACGGUAGCGAAAUUAAAUUAGAGAAUAUA